rnacentral:piRNA from 1 species
UAAUUGAUUUCUAAGGGCCUUUCCAGC